GGAGGUGUAGCUCAGUGCUAGAGUGCCUGCCUACCAGGCCUAAGCCCUGAGUUCAAACCCUAGUACCACCA
rnacentral:tRNA from 1 species